UCAUGCACGAAAGCGUGGGGACAAACAGGAUUAGAUACCCUGGUAGUCCACGCCUUAAACGAUGUCAACUGGUUGUUGGGUCUUCACUGACUCAGUAACGAAGCUAACGCGUGAAGUUGACCGCCUGGGGAGUACGGCCGCAAGGUUAAAACUCAAAGGAAUUGACGGGGACCCGCACAAGCGGUGGAUGAUGUGGUUUAAUUCGAUGCAACGCGAAAAACCUUACCCACCUUUGACAUGUACGGAAGAUCGCAGAGACGCGAUUGUGCUCGAAAGAGAGCCGUAACACAGGUGCUGCAUGGCUGUCGUCAGCUCGUGUCGUGAGAUGUUGGGUUAAGUCCCGCAACGAGCGCAACCCUUGCCAUUAGUUGCUACAUUCAGUUGGGCACUCUAAUGGGACUGCCGGUGACAAACCGGAGGAAGGUGGGGAUGACGUCAAGUCCUCAUGGCCCUUAUAGGUGGGGCUACACACGUCAUACAAUGGCUGGUACAAAGGGUUGCCAACCCGCGAGGGGGAGCUAAUCCCAUAAAGCCAGUCGUAGUCCGGAUCGCAGUCUGCAACUCGACUACGUGAAGUCGGAAUCGCUAGUAAUCGUGGAUCAGAAUGUCACGGUGAAUACGUUCCCGGGUCUUGUACACACCGCCCGUCACACCAUGGGAGCGGGUUCUGCCAGAAGUAGGUAGCCUAACCGUAAGGAGGGCGCUUACCACGGCAGGGUUCGUGACUGGGGUGAAGUCGUAACAAGGUAACC
rnacentral:rRNA from 1 species